UGCGUAGGUGGUUUCUUAAGUCAGAGGUGAAAGGCUACGGCUCAACUGUAGUAAGCCUUUGAAACUGGGAAACUUGAGUGCAGGAGAAGAGAGUGGAAUUCCUAGUGUAGCGGUGAAAUGCGUAGAUAUUAGGAGGAACACCAGUUGCGAAGGCGGCUCUCUGGACUGUAACUGACACUGAGGCACGAAAGCGUGGGGAGCAAACA
rnacentral:rRNA from 1 species